rnacentral:tRNA from 1 species
GGUAAAAUGGCUGAAAUUUAGGCGAUAGAUUGUAAAUCUAUUUAUGAGAAUAAAACUCUUUUACCA